ACGGAAGGCAGCAGUGGGGAAUAUUGCACAAUGGGCGCAAGCCUGAUGCAGCGACGCCGCGUGAGCGAAGAAGUAUUUCGGUAUGUAAAGCUCUAUCAGCAGGGAAGAUAAUGACGGUACCUGACUAAGAAGCACCGGCUAAAUACGUGCCAGCAGCCGCGGUAAUACGUAUGGUGCAAGCGUUAUCCGGAUUUACUGGGUGUAAAGGGAGCGUAGGCGGUCAUGCAAGUCUGAUGUGAAAACCCGGGGCUCAACUUCGGGAUUGCAUUGGAAACUGUAAGACUAGAGUGUCGGAGGGGUAAGUGGAAUUCCUAGUGUAGCGGUGAAAUGCGUAGAUAUUAGGAGGAACACCAGUGGCGAAGGCGGCUUACUGGACGAUUACUGACGCUGAGGCUCGAAAGCGUGGGGAGCAAACAGGAUUAGAUACCCUGGUA
rnacentral:rRNA from 1 species